rnacentral:rRNA from 1 species
UAUGUAGGGUGCAAGCGUUAAUCGGAAUUACUGGGUGUAAAGCGCGUGUAGGCGGGAGGCCAAGUCUGUGGUGAAAUCGCUCGGCUUAACUGGGCGGGGUCCAUGGAAACUGGUCACCUGGAGGUCGGUAGAGGCAAGUGGAAUUCCCGGUGUAGUGGUGAAAUGCGUAGAGAUCGGGAGGAACACCAGUGGCGAAGGCGGCUUGCUGGGCCGGACCUGACGCUGAGACGGCGAAGGCGUGGGGAGCGAACAGG